GAUGAAGAACGUAGCGAAAUGCGAUAAGUAAUGCGAAUUGCAGAAUUUCCGUGAGUCAUCGAAUCUUUGAACGCACAUUGCGCCCCCUGGCAUUCCGGGGGGCAUGCCUGUCCGAGCGUCAUUUCUGCCCUCAAGCACGGCUUGUGUGUUGGGUGUGGUCCCCCCGGGGACCUGCCCGAAAGGCAGCGGCGACGUCCGUCUGGUCCUCGAGCGUAUGGGGCUCUGUCACUCGCUCGGGAAGGACCUGCGGGGGUUGGUCACCACCAUGUUUUACCACGGUUGACCUCGGAUCAGGUAGGAGUUACCCGCUGAACUUAAGCAUAUCAAUAAGCGGAGGA
rnacentral:misc_RNA from 1 species